AGAGAAAGAUGGAAGCAUGCCUAACACAUGCGAGUCGCACGGGGGGGCUUCGGCCUCCCAGUGGCGGACGGGUGAGGAACGCGUAGGGACCUGUCGAGGGGUGGGGGAUAACCGCGGGAAACUGCGGCUAAUACCGCAUGACGCCGCGGCGUGACAGCCGGGGCCAAAGGCGAAAGCCGCCCGCCGAGGGGCCUGCGUCCGAUUAGCUGGUUGGCGGGGUAGCGGCCCACCAAGGCGUCGAUCGGUAGCUGGUCUGAGAGGGUGAUCAGCCACACCGGGACUGAGACACGGCCCGGACUCCUACGGGAGGCAGCAGUGGGGAAUAUUGGACAAUGGGCGCAAGCCUGAUCCAGCAAUGCCGCGUGGGUGAAGAAGGUCUUCGGAUUGUAAAGCCCUUUCGGCGGGGACGAUGGUGACGGUACCCGCAGAAGAAGCCCCGGCUAACUUCGUG
rnacentral:rRNA from 1 species